GGCCCUGAGAGAAGGAGGGAGACUGGUGGCCUUUAAAGGAAAAGACUCAGAGAUUUGAACGGUUGCCAGGCGGCCUCCAGGAAGAAGCAGCUGGGAGAAGCAGGACGGCACUGGACGCUUGGCAGAGAAAGACCCUGGGCAAGAGACUGGGGGUAAAGAUUUGGAGAUGAAAUAGCAAAGCGCUGAUCUAACUCAGGGCUGGCCCAAGCUGUUCCCAAGAGGGGCCCCUCAUCUUUACGAGAAUCUCUUGAGUGUCUGACUGUCUCGCUUGAUGCAGACCCAGGGCCUUUAGCACCCAGCAGAGCUCUUGGCUGAUUAGGCUCAGAGAAGGCAGGGAGCUGCCUGUUAAUGCCCGUGCUUGCUGAAACACGUCAUAGAACACACUGCUCAGAUUUGGCUGCAACGGAGAUUUUAUGUUUUACUAUUUUGCUGUCUAAUUUAAGCCUACCGUAUUUAAAAUGUCUUCUUCCUCGCUUACCCUGUAUUUGCAAUGUACUCACGGCAAAGCGUAUUAGGCAUAAUGGGCAUGCCAAGAUGCUUGUCUUCAAGCAUCUCCCUAUUCAGUGGGAAUGAUUAAACAAAUGUACGGUUAAUUCAUUGAUGUGAGACAGUUGAUAAUACUCAGUAAGAGGGAGGCAAAUAUCCAUGGAGGGAGGGAUGGAAGCGGUGGAGAGCAGGUGGGAUGUGUAAGGAGGUAUAGGAAGGCUAGGGAAAUCCCGGAAGGUUCCAGAGAGAUAUCAGUUCAAUGGGACCUUGAAGAAUGGAGAUAAUUAUCAGACGCAUAGAUGAAAGGGAGGAUGUUUCUGGAGGAUGGAAUGGUGUAGGCACAGCAGUGAGAAGAAAAGUAUAAUGUACAUUCUGGACGCAUCUGUCUACUGGGUAGGAAGCAAAGCAAAGGGUGGUAGGAAGUCAGUUCUGAUAAGUGGGUAGUAGAGAUUAUAGAGUACAAUUAAUAAAAGGCUAAGGAGUCUGGAAUUUAUUCAGAAGGCACAGAGGGAGGAACCAUCAAAAGUUGGGAGGGGUGCUUUGGAGAGACAGGGCUGGUACCUGUGUGUUGGACUCAAAGCAAGAAGACCAAUGACAGGCUUUUAACUUAGUUUAAUUUAAUUUUUGACAGCAAUCCAAUUAAGUAGUAAAUAAAUGGCAGCAGGGAAAAAAAGAGGGGCAAGUAACUAAAGGGACUUCAAGAUACCAGCUGCUGAGCAUGUGAGCAAUUCACCAGCAAUGGAGGGGAAGCCACCGAUGUGGCAGGCUCCUGGAAGAUGCAGAGGGGAUUGGCAGCCCAGGUGGAGACUUGUGGGUUAAAAUGCAGACGGAGCACAGGCAACUGGUUUUGCUCCCUCGCCAUAAAACUGUGUAAAGUGUUAACACCAAACACACACAGGAAACCACAUGGAUGGGAAGAUGGAAGAGGAGCCAAAGCAAAAGACUUUAGAGGCUGGAAAGCAGAGGGACCAGUGGAGAACUGUCUCAGCGCUCCUGAGGAUGUCAAAUCCCAACAGGUGGGAUUUACCAGAACCAAUCCUGUCUCAACCGCAGAAUCCUUAAAAGGCUCAGAAAGCAGCAGCAGGUACCCAUGGGACUGAGUAAAGAGGACAAAACAAGGAAGGAAUUGGGAGGAAGUUGUCUGAGAAGUUAGAUCCUGGGUCUCCCUCCUCGCUCAACAAGGCCGACGACUGCCUCUCGGUCACCCAGGCAAAGGCUCUGAGGCUUAACAGUUUAGAAAGGAUACUCUGAAAUUAGAGUCCCUGACUUGUAGUAUGCGAGACACAGCUGAGUGUGUGGACACACCAAAAGCAGGGGCUCAAUGCCUGGAUGCAUACUCAGUGCUAAAUGCUAAGACACUUUCCACUCCUUCCAUCCUUUAGCCUCAUAGGGCCCCCUCAUAGUGCCAGACUCAUCCCCUCCAUGCAAGAGACUAGAAGAUUAUUACUGAAAAAAACCCAUCAAAUAUUGAUACUGGAGAUUCCCCAAUGAAUAGUCCACCCGAAUCAACCCAAUGUGAAGCUCAAAUUGACAACCCCACUGAUACCCACAGAGCUCCAGUCAGCAUUUUAACCCUUCACUCUGAAUCAUGAGCAGAUAGUCAAGGAUUACUAGACAUCUGAAGAAAUUCUCUAAGUUGGAAAAUAGAGGCCAAAACAAACCGACAGAGGAAACAGAGACUGUGUAAGGAAAUAAUAACUUAAAAAAAAAACCCUAGUGUUAAUAUCUCAGAAAAUAAAAGAAGGUGUCACCUCCAUACUCCUUGAAAAAAGAACAGGAUGCUAUAAUAAAGGAGCUUCUGUGGAACAACAAAAAGAGCUUUUGGAAAUUAAAAGCAUUUAAUAAAAUGAAAAUGUUCCCGUAAGGGUUGAAAAAUAAAGUUGAGGAACUCUCCUAGAGAGUAGAGCAAAAUGACAAAGCCAGGGAAAACAGAAGAGAAAAUAUUUUCAAAUGAGAUGAUCAAUCCAAAUUUGAAUACUAGAAGUCCCCAGCAAAGGAGAACAGAGAAAUAGAGGGAAAGAAUCAAAAAGCAGUCCAAGAAAAAAUCCAUAGAAACAAGGGAGAGGACCUGUCAGCUUCAGAGUUCCCUCCAAAUGCCCAGGAAACGGAUGAAAAUAGACCCAUAGCGAGGUAUAUCACUGUAAAAUUUCAGACCGCUGGUGAUCAAGAAGAUCUCACAAGCUCCUAGAGAGAAAGAACUGGUCACAUACAAGACAAUCAGGAUCCAGAAUGGCUUGAGAUUUCUCAACAGUUUGGAGCCAGUGCUGCCCUUAAAAUGAUGAAGGAUCAAAACAACACUAAAUUUAUACCAUUUCUAAACCGGCAAUAACCUACUAGAAAAUAUAAUAAAAAUAAGGUAUCAUUUACAAUGGUCUCAAAACUAUGAAAUAAACAAUGAUCAAGUUAAACAAAUAUAUGUAAGACCUCUAUAAAGAUGGUUGAAGUAAAUGGAAACAUUUUCCACGAUCUUAGAUGACACUAUUGUGAAAUCUGUAAAUUCAAUCGAAUUCCAGUUGUUCUCAAAACAUGUGUGGAGCUUAAAGUUCUAAGAAUAGAUACAUUAAUCUCAAAUAGAAGAGUGAAGAGGAGGAAUUGCUCGACUAGUUAGAAAGAUCUGAUAGGAAACCAUAGUAACAAUAAAGAUAUUAAUAAUAAUAAUGGUGACAAGGCGAAGCAAAAAGGGAAGGAUAGAUUACUCAGUUGAUGGUUUUCAGAAAAUCGGCUCUUAGUGGGUAGCAGAUAAAUGUUUGCUGAAUCUAUGACUGUGUAGGAAAAAAAAAAUGGAGUCUCUAUCUGUGUUUGUCUAGAACUUCUGAGAAGCAGAUGCCAAGACGGGAGUAAAUGUGCGAGGAUAUUAUUAGGAGAAGCGCCUAAGAGAGAAAAUUGAGAGGAGCCAGCUAGGAGAGACUUCAGACUGCAGUGUAAGUCUGACCCCAAGUGAAGGAGAAUUGACAGACCACACUCUAAAUCUGCACCCGACUAAGGAUCGGGUAAAAACGUCCUAGAGUGCUCUCUGUAGUCUGAGAAAAGUCUGGCAGCACUGAGGGAGAGCCCUCAAGUCAUUGUCGGGCACCCGAAAAGCACAUUCUCUGGAGUUGAAGGUCUAUUGAGUCACUUUCAUGGCCACUGCACCAUCUAAAAGGACAAACAAUGGUGAACUAUAGACGGAUUAAAUAACUAAAUGUAGAAGAUAAACUACAAGUUUAAUAGAUCAAUAUGUGGAAAGUAUCUUUGUGACAUAGGAUGAAGAAGGACUUCUUAAACAAAAUUUUGAAAGAGAUAAUCAUAAGACAAAAGAUCUGAUAAAUAUCCUUGUGUCCAAAUUAAAGAUUUCCUUUCAAUGAUGAAUAACAUGGGCAAAAUUAAUGGGCAUCUGAUGGAGUGGCAGAGGUAGUUCCCAAAACUGAGAAGUGAUUAUAGUUAGAAUAUUGAAAGAAGAAAAUUCAACAAGAAAGGGCAACCCCAAAAGGAAAAUGGGGAAAGAAUAUGAACAGGUAUUUUACAGAAAAGAAAAUUCAAAAAGUAAUGAGAACACAAUUGGAUGUUCAAAAUCAUCUUUAACAAGAAAAAUUAAGAUCAGAAAAACAUUAGAAAAAUGUAAAUGAAAUUAAAACAAUGAGAUAUCAUCUACGAGUCUGGCAAAAAUUAGAAAAUUGGACAAUACCAAAUGUUCAUGGAAAUAGGAGGAUAUAAUACCUGUGUGUCUUUUUUGUGUGAGGUACACCAUUCAUCGCAGCUAUUUUGGAGAACAAUCUGGCAUUAUGUACCCAAAUUAAGUGUAUACAGAAUCUAUUAGCCAGUAGUUCCAUUCCUAGGCAUAAUUCCACAGAAUUCUCACAUAGAUGCAUGAGGAGAUAUAUAUGAAGAUAUUCACUGCAGCAGGAUGUUGCUGUUGACAAAAAUUAGAAGAAACUGGAUAUUUCUCGUUGGAAGAAUGCUUAGAUAAAAUGUGGAUGCACCCCUCAGAGGCCUGUGUAAGACUGGAGUACAUGGAUAUAGAAGCAACAUAUGGAUCUUAAAAAUACAUACUUGGUGAACAAAAAGAAGAAGAAAUUCAGAUUGAGAUAGAUAACAUAAUACCAUCUGUGCCAUUCAAAAACAUAUAUUUAAGAAAAAAUUCAAAUUUACUAAGAUUUGAAGAGUAUAUUCAAAUAAAAACAUACAUUAGAACGGUUGCCUAAGGGAAAAGGGAAUUGGAGUGGAGAGUGAAAUAAAGGAAGCAAAUAAAUAUGCUAAAAGAGAGAGGGGGUAAAUUCUGAAAGAAAAUCUCGAACAUUGAAUUCUAUUGCCAGUUAAACUGUCGAGUAGGAUCAGAGUAGAAUAAGGACAUUUUUAGACAAAGUAUCAAGAGCAAAUCUCCCUAGCAUCUUAUCUCAAGAAGCUACUUGAAGAUGUGCUCCAGCAAAACAAGAAGGUACAUCAGGAGAGAUGAACACAUAGAAAUUAAGAAAACGGAGACUGAACAAAGGAGAGAAGCUCAGAGAAAGCCCAGGAGAAUGUUAGAGGAGCAUCUUGGGUGACACAUAUGCAUGGGACAUAGAGGGGAUAGAGCUGGAAUUAAAGCAAUAUGACAAGACAUUUUGAGAGUUGUCGCUGAAAUUUCUGCCGCCCCUGUACUUUCUUUUUAACCUGAGAAUAAGACGCCCCAAUGAGCCUGACCUAGAUGUGUCCUUUUAUUUAGCUUGUCUUCACCAAGUGAUUUGGAAGUUCAUAUUUUCCUUUCCGCCUGUAUCAGCUGAGGAUGGUCACCUCACCCAGAAGUGUUCUACUUGGACCUACUCUUAAAAACUGAAGAGAAAUUUAGAAGGCAAAAACUAACAGCAGCUCCAGCCUUAUUUCUGCUGUAUGUCAAACCUGGUUCACAUUUCAGCUCAGUUAGACGAUACAAAUCUUUUUUGAGAUCUUUGUUUUCAAAGACUCAUUCAUGAAAAUGCCCAUGGGUUUCCCAAAAGGGACUCUUGUAAAUUCCCAGAGAAGUUAGAGAUCAUCCAGAGACCCCAUUCAUUUUAUCUUCCACUGGGAAAGCCAUUUUCUUACAUAGCUCAGUUUGUGCUUGUUACCCAAAUGUUAAAAAAUAAAGCACAUAUUGCUUAGGGGUACAUACUUAGUAAAAUAUAAAGGAAAGCAAGAGAAUAAUUAACACCAAGUCUGGAGAGUGGUUAUGUCUAGGGUGGGGGAAGAGAGGAGUCUUCCAUUUUGGGCGAUUAUAGGCACAUUCUUAUGACACAAAUAAUCUUCUUAAUCUAGGUAUGGGUAUAGAGGUG
rnacentral:lncRNA from 1 species